rnacentral:lncRNA from 1 species
GUAUUUUUGAAAAUUUCAAUAUGCUAAGCUGAAUUAGGCACAUAUAAAAUUGAUUACUUCAUUUAUCUUAUAUUUUCAAUGGACUUUAAUUAAUUUUAGAAUAAACUAAUUUAAAACAAUAAUGGAUUUUAGAGAGAGAAACUAUCCCCUCUCUCUAAAACUAGGGUUUCCUUCUUUUGGUGAGAACCGCCUCCCCUCCUGUAGGGGCUCGUCCUCCUUCAUCGGAGCUUUUCACCACCAUAAUGGUGACUAUCUCCUCCUCAAUGGUGGCUUCCCCCAACUAUAAGUGUUCCUCCCUCUCUUCUUUUUCCUUUGAAACACUCGCCCUUGUUAGAUCCACACAGUUUUUUACCCCCAACCUCCAUCAAGUUCUUCAUCCUCUCCACCAUCAACCAUCAACCGUUUGUUACUCCAAAAUUAACUCCACAAACUGUUGGGCCAAGGUGUUACGGUCAUGAAAAACGGCCUCCACCACCAUAAGCUUUGAAAUUUCUGAGUUUAUGUGUGUGUUCCUGUAUUGGUUACUAUUAUUAUGUUUAUUUUGCAGUGGUUCUUGUUGUUUCAUGUUUGGUUUGGUUUGUUGCAUGGAUUAAUCUUAGGUUUAGGUUGUCGUAAGUUUGUGCUCAAGGUGUUUAUUGAAAUGCCUCAAAGGAUCUUGGAUGACAGAGAUGGGGUUUUGAGUGAGAUUCUUCUUAGGGUUGCUGCAAAUAAAACUCCUACUUCCAGUCAAUAAAUGUUUCAUCUAUAAAUUGUGAGUUUAAUCAAUCUGGAGAACAUGUAUAAUUAAAUUAUGCAUGAUAAAUAGAGUUAAAGAUUGUGGUUCCAAAGCUCACUUGGUUGUUGCGGGAUAAUUUUUUUUGGUUGCUUGGAUCAAGGAUUUAAAUUGGUAAUUCUCUAUUGGUUUUUAAUUACUCAAAGGUUUUUGAUGUCCAUAGUUUGUUUGACUUAAUUAUUAGUGUUGUUGUUAAAUUAUGGUUGGGGUAUGUCCUAACACAAUAUAUUUGUCUAUGUUUGUACUCUCUUUUUUCAUCUAUUGAAUGAGAUUGUUUCCUGUAAAAAAAAAGAAUAAACUAAUUUGAAGUACUUGAGUAACACGACCCUUAUUGGACCAGAUAAAUGGACCUAAAAAAGAACACAUCUUCUGGAUUAAAAGGUUGUUCUUUUAUACAGGGGCCAUUUAUAUUUGUACAAUAUAUCUACACUAGCAUUGAUGCAUUAAUUAUAUAUAAGAUGAUUAACUUGUCCCAAAUCUGAAAAUGAACCAUCUAAAGAAAAGUCAAUGAGAAAUUUUGAUGAUAUGGCACCAA